GAGGAAUUUUGCGCAAUGGGGGAAACCCUGACGCAGCAACGCCGCGUGAGUGAUGAAGGCUUUAGGGUCGUAAAGCUCUGUCAAGUGGGAAGAAACCACUUGGUGUUAAUACCACCAUGUGCUGACGGUACCA
rnacentral:rRNA from 1 species